rnacentral:tRNA from 1 species
GGCCUCGUAGCUCGGUUGGCUGGCGUGGGUUCGAAUCCCACCGAGGCCG